rnacentral:misc_RNA from 1 species
GGUUGAUCUUUAGUGGUAAAAAAAGGGACCUAUUGGGUUUUGCUAUGGCCUUUUGGAUUGGGGCUGCAGAGUUUGAAGGAAUUUGCAUAGAAUCCAUGAGAAAAAAAUGCGAGUUAUAUAUAGAUGGGACAAUGUGUUUGUAUCUGCAUAUGAAAAGAAAAGAAAAGAAAAAAUAGAGGAGAGGAAGAGGUUUUUCAUGCGGUGGCAAAAGGACUC